AGAAGCAGGGCACACCCUCCCUCCUGGGUGCUCCCUUCCUCAGCAUCCUCUCCUUCCUAGGGUGCUAUGACCCUGCAAGUGCAGGUUUCCUCUUUAGAUUCCUACCUGCAGGGGCUGCUGUUUGGUGCUUUGAAGAAAAUAAGGCAGACUUUGGCAAGUAAACAGAAUUCUGGAAAGGAUUCUGACCCACCCCAGAUUCCAACAUAAUCUGAUUCUGCCCUCCUGCCCUGUACUUCCCUGCCCUCUUCCCCACCGCCCAGACUGGGCACGAGACAGAAGCAGCAGUAAGAGGAGCGUGUUCCUGGGAGACAUUUGACCUGGUGAAGCUUUGUGAAGUGGAGGCUUCCAGAUGAUGAGGUGAUUCUUUCCAACUGAUUUUUUUUUUAAAGUCCUAGCCAAGGCAUACCCAUCCUGCCAGGAGACCAGGAAUGGUCUCUACCAUUCUAUGGAAGGCUGCUGAGUGUCUGCAGGAUACAGCUGGAGCCUGAAGGAGUAAAACGAGCUGGAAUGUAUGGUUGGCCAAACUGCUGAGAUAUGACACGUGAGAAGGCUCUCAGGCAGGACAACAUACAUGCCACAGUGGAGGAAAGACAGGGGCGUCAACGAAGGCACAUCACCUCACCUCACAGCACCCACCUCCUCAACACCAAGGCUUCCUUACCUCCAGGACCUUGACUCCUGCAGGAAAGAAGACGGAAUGCACUCCUCCCUCAUCUAUUGGGUCUGAAACUCUGUGCUCAAUACAGUCUGUAGUGGCUUAGGUAAGAAUGGCCCCCAUAGGCUCAUGUAUUUGAACACUUUUGAUCCUCCAUUGGUGGAACAGUUUGGAAAGGAUUUGGGGGGUCUGGCCUUGGAAGGUGUGUAUCACUGGGGACUGGCUUUGAGGUUUCAAAAGUCUACACCAUUCCCAGGAUCUGUCUCUCCCCGCCCACCACCACCUCAUACUUGUAGAUGAGAUGAGAGCUAUG